rnacentral:rRNA from 1 species
AAAGAAGGUGAGAAUCCUGUAAAUCAUUUAUUAAAAUAGGCUAUAUGUUUUUAUUUCACAGAGUCGGGUUGUUUGGGAAUGCAAUCUUAAAUGGGUGGUAUAUCUCAUCUAAAGCUAAAUAUUAACAAGAGACCGAUAGCAAACAAGUACCGUGAGGGAAAGGUUAAAAGAACUUUGAAAAGAGAGUGAAAAGUACUUGAAAUUGUUAACUGGGAAACGCUUUAACCCUUUAUUUAGUUUAUUUGAUUAUUUUAUUAUUUAUGAAAUGAGUGUAGUAUAUUACUUAUGGUUUAUAUGAAGCUUUUUGGAAAUAAAUAAUGAAAUAUUUUAAGUAAAUUAACUCAACAUCAGUUUAAAUCAACUGAGAAAAAUUAUAUGGAGGUAGUGUUGUUCAUUCGUGAUCACCAUGAAACAUAUGAUAAAUAGGUUGAUUUAGACUGGCAAGUCAAAUAUAUGCCUCAAGGCUGUGAUAUUAGCAAUAUUGUUGAAGGUUUAUUGGACUUCAAAGAAGUGUUGUAAAUUUCAGAUAAUAUUUGUUAACUAGCAAAAUAUAUUAUUGAAUGUUGAGAUAAAGAGUUAAAUCGACCCGUCUUGAAACACGGACCAAGGAGUCUAA